rnacentral:rRNA from 1 species
UACAGGGGGUGCAACCGUUGCUCGGAAUUAUUGGGCGUAAAGCGCACGUAGGCGGUUCGUUAUGUCAGAUGUGAAAGCCCUUGGCUCAACUGAGGAAGUGCAUCUGAAACUGGCGAGCUGGAGUAUGUAAGAGGGUCGCGGAAUUCCCGGUGUAGAGGUGAAAUUCGUAGAUAUCGGGAGGAACACCGGUGGCGAAGGCGGCGACCUGGGACAAUACUGACGCUGAGAAGCGAAAGCGUGGGGAGCGAACAGG